ACAGAGUCUAAAUUUCCUAGGCACCUGGCUCACCUGUAACCUCUAAGAACCAGGCUGGCCUUGAAGUCACUAUGGAGCCCAGCUGGCCUCAAGCCCCUCUCCUGCCUCAGCCUCCAAGUGAUGGGAUUACAAUAAAGGACACAUUGCUGUUAAUGACCCUCAAGGCACCCCUCACGUCCAACACAUGUACCUAUCAUUCUUGCCGCUUUCUGGAGCAGUUCUGGAAGUCCGCUUUGCCAGAUGUUACUGAGUGCCAGAGCUGGUGAAGAAGGUGGCUGAGCACACACAGUGACAAUUUCACCAGCGACUCUGUCGGACACAAUGGGAAGCACCAUCACUGAUCACAUCUCCUAAAGAUGCCUGUGGAAGGGGACUUCAGAACUGCUUCAGAAGUGGCACGAAUGAUGGGGUGUGUAAACACAGCAGUACUUGUGCCUCUUAACAAGGACCUAGAGUGUUCCGAGGGACAGGGGUAUGCUGCAGAGGUCACACCAUACAGCUGGUACCAGCCCGCCACAGCUCCGGAGAGCUGGGUGUUUCCACACUCUGAAGAGUCCUGGCUCUGAAUACCCGAGGGGAAGAACAGCAUGGCACCAUGAAUCCACCUACACUCAGAUCCAGCCCCCUCUGAAAAAGCACCACCAAUGACUGAAUGAGGCCUCGGGGGGACAUCUAGACAUGAGCCGUGACAGUGUGUACAGGGCACCUCACUGAUGUAAGUACUCACCACGAGCCUGAUCCUGCAGGAGC